GACGAACCGAGCAAACGUUAUUCGGAAUCACUGGGCGUAAAGCGCACGUAGGCGGCUUUUUAAGUCAGGGGUGAAAUCCUGGAGCUCAACUCCAGAACUGCCUUUGAUACUGAGAAGCUUGAGUCCGGGAGAGGUGAGUGGAACUGCGAGUGUAGAGGUGAAAUUCGUAGAUAUUCGCAAGAACACCAGUGGCGAAGGCGGCUCACUGGCCCGGUACUGACGCUGAGGUGCGAAAGCGUGGGGAGCAAACAGG
rnacentral:rRNA from 1 species